rnacentral:ribozyme from 11 species
CAGACAGACAAAAGACGAGAGAGAAAGGAAAGACUUAUAUGCUGAUCAAGGAAGAACGAACAUCGUUACUGUUGCUUUCUUUCCUUUCUUUUUUAUUCUUAAGUUACUUUUCUCGUCAUUCC